AUUGAACGCUGGCGGCAUGCUUUACACAUGCAAGUCGAACGGCAGCGCGGGCUUCGGCCUGGCGUCGAGUGGCGAACGGGUGAGUAAUACGUCGGAACGUGCCCAGUUGUGGGGGAUAGCUCGGCGAAAGCCGGAUUAAUACCGCAUACGACCUGAGGGUGAAAGCGGGGGAUCUUCGGACCUCGCGCUAUUGGCCCGGCCGAUGGCAGAUUAGCUAGUUGGUGGGGUAAAGGCCUACCAAGGCGCCGAUCUGUAGCUGGUCUGAGAGGACGACCAGCCACACUGGGACUGAGACACGGCCCAGACUCCUACGGGAGGCAGCAGUGGGGAAUUUUGGACAAUGGGCGAAAGCCUGAUCCAGCAAUGCCGCGUGUGUGAAGAAGGCCUUCGGGUUGUAAAGCACUUUUGGCGGGAACGAAAAGGACUGUGCCAAUACCACGGUUCGAUGACGGUACCCGCAGAAUAAGCACCGGCUAACUACGUG
rnacentral:rRNA from 1 species